AGAGAGAGAGAGAGAGAGAGCAAGGAGAGACGGCAGGGGUAUUAUAGGAAUAAAAAAAAUCUCAUUUGACUUGCUUAAUUAGCGUAUGUAGAUGACAAAAUAAAACCUCAGGAACAUAUUAAUGUAAUUGUCAAUAUGCACAGACUAACUAGUAAAUAGUAGCAGUACUGAAGGACUUUAUAGUAAUUCACUCUAAAGGGCAACAAUCUCAACAGAUAUAGUACAAAUUACAAGCAUACAAGACAUAUUCAAGAUUUUGUUAUUU
rnacentral:misc_RNA from 1 species